rnacentral:rRNA from 1 species
GUGUCAGCAGCCGCGGUAAUACAGAGACUGCAAGCGUUAUUCGGAUUCACUGGGCGUAAAGGGUGCGCAGGUGGCCAAGUGUGUCAGGUGUGAAAUCCCGGGGCUUAACUCCGGAACUGCGCCUGAAACUGCUUGGCUAGAGCAUUGGAGAGGGAAGUGGAAUUCACGGUGUAGCAGUGAAAUGCGUAGAUAUCGUGAGGAACACCAGAGGCGAAGGCGACUUCCUGGACAAUUGCUGACACUCAGGCACGAAAGCGUGGGUAGCCAAAGGGAUUAGAUACCCCUGUAGUCC